rnacentral:rRNA from 1 species
UACGAAGGGGGGCUAGCGUUGCUCGGAAUCACUGGGCGUAAAGCGCACGUAGGCGGCUUUUUAAGUCAGGGGUGAAAUCCUGGAGCUCAACUCCAGAACUGCCUUUGAUACUGAGAGCUUGAGUCCGGGAGAGGUGAGUGGAACUGCGAGUGUAGAGGUGAAAUUCGUAGAUAUUCGCAAGAACACCAGUGGCGAAGGCGGCUCACUGGCCCGGUACUGACGCUGAGGUGCGAAAGCG